rnacentral:rRNA from 1 species
AGAGUUCCUUCCUGGCUCAGGACGAACGCUGGCGGCGUGCUUAACACAUGCAAGUCGAACGAUGAACCACUUCGGUGGGGAUUAGUGGCGAACGGGUGAGUAACACGUGGGCAAUCUGCCCUGCACUCUGGGACAAGCCCUGGAAACGGGGUCUAAUACCGGAUACUGACCCUCGCAGGCAUCUGCGAGGUUCGAAAGCUCCGGCGGUGCAGGAUGAGCCCGCGGCCUAUCAGCUUGUUGGUGAGGUAAUGGCUCACCAAGGCGACGACGGGUAGCCGGCCUGAGAGGGCGACCGGCCACACUGGGACUGAGACACGGCCCAGACUCCUACGGGAGGCAGCAGUGGGGAAUAUUGCACAAUGGGCGAAAGCCUGAUGCAGCGACGCCGCGUGAGGGAUGACGGCCUUCGGGUUGUAAACCUCUUUCAGCAGGGAAGAAGCGAAAGUGACGGUACCUGCAGAAGAAGCGCCGGCUAACUACGUGCCAGCAGCCGCGGUAAUACGUAGGGCGCAAGCGUUGUCCGUAAUGAUUGGGCGUAAAGGGCGCGUAGGCGGCCCGGUAAGUCUGGAGUGAAAGUCCUGCCUUUAAGGUGGGAAUUGCUUUGGAUACUGUUGGGCUUGAGUGCAGGAGAGGUAAGUGGAAUUCCCAGUGUAGCGGUGAAAUGCGUAGAGAUUGGGAGGAACACCAGUGGCGAAGGCGACUUACUGGACUGUAACUGACGCUGAGGCGCGAAAGUGUGGGGAGCAAACAGGAUUAGAUACCCUGGUAGUCCACACUAUAAACGAUGAAUGCUAGGUGUAGGGGGGUUCCGACCCCUUUUGGGCCGCAGGUUAACACAAUAAGCAUUCCGCCUGGGGAGUACGGCCGCAAGGUUGAAACUCAAAGGAAUUGAGGGGGGCCCGCACAAAGCAGCGGAGCAUGUGGUUUAAUUCGACGCAACGCGAAGAACCUUACCAGGUCUUGACAUCCA